GGCAAGAGCAUUUUCUGACGGGACCUGGAGAAGAUUGUAAUUAGGUUAAUGAAUGAGUAGCAAGUGAGCAAGUGUUGGCUUUUCUCAGUAUAGAGACAAAGAAAGUGAGGGAGAGGAUUUUAAAGAGAGACGGUAGGAUCAUUUGCUUAUCUACACUAAUAAAAGAGAAAUAUGUAAAUUAAGCAUCACUUUGCGACGCCCACCAGCCAAUCAGGAAUGAGUAUGCAAAUUAGUGGGACAAAGAUGGCAGAAGCCAUGGAGCCAACUGGAGUGGGUGAGAGGCUUGGGUUGCCCUUGGCGAUGGAGGAAGCCAAGCUUCCUGCCCGCCCUGGCCGGCUGCUGAAGGAGGGGCCUGCAAACGGCCCUCAGCCCCUCACCCAGGUUGGCCAUGUCACCAUUGGGGUGAAGGUUCCUGCUGGGGAGCAUGGCCAGCCUGAAAACAGCCCUCAGCCCCUUACCCAGGCUGACCCAACCCCUCGCCCAGGCUGGCACCAUCCCCAGUGGGAUCCCCACCCCAAUGGGGGUGUGGCCAGCCUGCAAACAACCACAAGCCACUUGCCCAGGCUGCCCCGUAAUCUGAGGGGUCCCAGAUUGGAGAGGGUGCAGGCUGGGCUGAGGGACACCCCCCACCCCCGAAUUUUGUGCACUGGGCCUCUAAUGCUGGGAUAAGAGGAAGGAGUAAGUUUGUAGGCUAAGGAGAGAGUGCAAAGGAAAUGUUAAAGUUAUGCAGAACAGAUAAAUAAUGGAAUGAGAUUCUGGCAGAAGUAAGGUGUAUUAUGGACUCAGGGGGGACAUUAAUCUUGGAAAGGGGGAGAAGGACUUUUGGAGUCAUUAAAAGUUAAAACCCAAACAUUUAUGGCAGGAAAUGAAGCAUCUAGGGUUUCUAAGUUUUUCUGAAAUAAUUCUGAAGUGUCAAUUUAUAUCCUGAAAAUCACAGCUUCUAACUUCUACAAUAAUUACUGUUCUUGAAAAUACUUGUCAACCAUCCUCAUGGUAGAUCUGGCAAAUAAUGGAAUCAGAUCAGACACAGGCAGUGUUGUCAGCGUGCAUGUUCUGUUACAUUUGGCAACAUUGAUAACGCUUGUGUGAAGAUAGAUUUAAGCUUCAAGCUAUCCAUUGGGGCAUCACUAACUUCAGCAUCACGAAUAAAUCUGAAAAAGAAAAUCCAUACACUUCAACCAUUUCUGAACGCUAAUUUUUAUAUCUGCUUUUACAAAUACUAUAAUGUUCCUGUCAAAGAAUCCAUAUUUUGGGGGGGUGUAAUUCAAGUUCAAAAUAGCAUGAAAAAACUCAGUACCAGUGGUUUCUUAAACUUUGCUGUUUUAGCCGUGUAAUUUAAUAAAUCACUGUUUUAGAUGAGGAGCAAGGCGGAAAAGGAAUAUGGAAACAUUUGGCAUGGACCAGACAUUGACUUCUGCUCUCUCACAUUCUUUAGUUCUCACAGCAAUUCAUCUGAGGUAGUUGCUCUUUUGGUUUUACCGAAGCGAAAAUCUAAGUUUAAUAAAUGAAUGAGGGAGGUCUCGCCUGCAUUCUCCCUCCUAUAACAGCUUCUGAAUCCUUUGGAUUUUACUCAAACGUCCUUAACAGAAUGCAUGCUCCCUGGUGGCUGAGUCAACUUUUAUUCUUUGAUGGAUGUGACUUUUUUCUGGUGGGGGGAAAAAAUCGCACAUUAAUGCAGUGAACACAAUUUUAAAGGAAUUUCCAAUAUCAACUAAUGCAGUCCGCCGCCACCACUUCUGCCCGAAGGAGAGGAGUGCGUCCCAACCUUUUCCUUCUGUGUUGCCAGUUCUUGCAUCAAAAUCUUCCCACAAUGUGCCGAUUGGGGGAUUGUUCAUGUCCUCCCUACAAGAGAGGCUGGGAGUGAGGGGGGCGCGGUCUGCCCCUUCCUGCCCCUCCCACCAGGAUUCAUAAAGUGGUUAAUUCUGCCAGCAUAGAAAGUUCAAGUGCUGUGUCGCCAGAAGGAAAGAUAAAUAUCUGCGACUGAACAAACACGGAACUUUCCGUCUAGCAGGGAAAGUAAACAGGAUUGCACAGAUUAUUACGAUACGUGUUAAGAGUAAAGAAAAUUUGGGUAGCCUGUCGCAUGGGGGUUUCAGUGUGAGGCAGCACAGGAAGUGGCCUUGGACCCAGCCCUGAGAGCGGAGAGGCAGGAAGCUGCAAGGGGAAAGGGUGGAGAACACUCCAGGCACGGGGAGCAGCAUCUGCUCAGAAGGUGAAAAAGAAAAACGUGCGAGGAGCUGAAAGCAGAUCCGAGUGACGAGACAGAGCUGGGGAGAAGCUGGACAGGCAGGCAGCAAACACUGGGCUGGCCUUGGAGGCCAAGCUAACGAUUAUGGGCUUCAUUCCAAGAGUUUGGGAAAGUUACUGAAGAAUUUUAAACAGGGCCAACAGGCAUAAUUUAAAAAAAAAAUUUUUUAUUGAUUUCAUAGAGGCAGGGAGAGGGAACAAGAGAUAGAAACAUCAAUGAUAAAACUCAUUGAUCAGCUGCCUCUUGGAGGCCCCACACUGGGGAUCGAACCCACAACCCGGGCAUGUGCCCUGACGGAGUCAAACCGUGACCUCCUGGUUCACAGGUCUAUGCUCAACCACUGAGCCACGCCAGUGGGGCAGGCAUCUCUCUUUUAAACUCAAAAAUCCGAGAAGGACAAGAAUGAAAGAGGAAUGACCCAUCAAGUUUGUGGUUGUGGAGAUGGGGGGAAAUCGGGAUUUGAGAAAUAUCCAGGAAGUAACAUCAAUAGAGUUAAAUAAAUGACGGGGUAUGUCACCAAAUGUGAAAAGGGCCACCCCUCGGUGGUUACUAGAUGAUGGUUCCGUUUCCUGACGGUGGCCUGUCUAGUGGUCCGGAAUGAGAUUACCAGGUAGACGUCAGACAAGGCCACUGGAUAGAUGAGUCUGGAACUCAGGGGAAAGAGCUGGGCUGCAGAUAACAGAUUCUGGUCUUAUUCAGCAAAAGUACGGUGGAUGAAGCGGUGGAAUGGAGGAGAUGGUGUAGAGGGAGAGAGUGAAAGGGAAGGAAGUAGUCUAGGGAGAAGCCUAGAGAACCGCACGGAAAGAUGUGGACAGAGGAGAAGCUAAAAGGGGAUGGACAGGGAGAGCCAGAGGGGAGGAGAGCCACGCAUGGGGACUCUUCAGGGCCAGGUGUUAUUUCAACACGUUUUGUCUUCCUUUCUGUUUAGCCUGCGAUAUCCGAUUUCACCGAUAUGCUGGCUGCAGGAGACUGACGCGGUCCAAACGGAAAGUAUAGUGUCAGUCACCGAUGACUGACAUGGCGCUUCAUGUGUUAAGAUCCAUUUAAAUGAGCAUUAUAGAGCAUUGGCUGCUUUCAUCAACAUAGAAAUUAUUGACCAGAACCAAAGCCCGUUUAGAAGAUUGUGGGGCCAGGGCCAGGAAAGUGCUUUUGGAGUGAGAAGAGGAAGAACUGGGGCAGCCCUUACUAGAUAAUGUGGCCAUGAAGGACAGGAAUGACACAGGGUGAUACCUGGGGGGAGAGUGGGGUGGGGAUUUCUUCUAAAAGAUGGAACAGAUUUUGAGCAUGUUUAAAAACUUAAGAGAAGGAUCUAGUAGAGAAGUUGGAGAUAAAGGAGGGCUGCAAGGUCGCAGUUUUGUUCCGUUCUUGUUUUGACAUGCUAAUUCUUGUCACUUUUCAAGAGGUCUCACCGGCAUCCUUGGCCUCCACACCCCUGAUGCUCUGUGAGGCCGAUGGAUACUGCCCGCCGGACAGUUGUUCUGCGCACCAUGAUGUGUUUACUUUCAACACCAUUAAACCUAUAAAUAUUACUUGCAGAGUGAUGUUUAAAGGCAUGUUUGCAGCUACAUCCAACACUUGACAAUUACUCCUGGCAUGUGAUUUGAGGGCACAGGCAGAGAGGUAAACGGGUCCUCAUAAUCCAGGGAGAAGCAUUUGGGGUCCGUGUAGGUUCCUAAGGGACAAGAGUGGAGAAGUGGACAGAGGCCACAGAAACUCCUCAGCUGAGAAGGAUUUGGAAUGUAAAUCUCUUCUUCCCAAACCAAAUCUCCAGUAAAAUCUGCCUUGUUUGUCUCAAAGACUAAGUGGAUUAUUUUGGGGGCACUUAAAGAGAUGAAUUUUACAACUGGGUCAAAUCUGCAAUUCAACUCAUUUGGGUAAAUACAAAGCAAAAUACCAAAUAACUUAUUUUUCCAUUAAAAAAUAGGCUUAAAUGACAUACAAUAAAACUUUUUAGUAUACAGUUCUGGGAGUUUUGGGUGUGUGUUUUUUAAUCCUCACCUGAGGAUAUUUUUCCAUUGACUUUUAAAGAGAGAGGAAGGGAGAGGGAGAGUCAGAGAGAGAAACAUUGAUGUGAGAGACACAUUGAUUGAUUGCCUCCUGCUUGUGCCCCAACCAGGGCCGGAGAUCGAGCCUGCAUCUGAGGUACGUGCCCUUGACUGGAAUGGAACCCAGGACCCUUCAAUCCACAGGCCGAUGCUCUAUCCACUGAGUCAAACAGGCCAGACCCAGUUCUGGGAGUUUUGGCAAAUGUAUACAGUUGUACAACCACCACCAAGAGCGAGAUACAGAACAGUUUGAGCACCUGUCCCCCAAAUUCCCACAAUUUCAUAUUAUUCAUAUUAUUUUUUAUAUUAAGAACAAAAUACUGAGGAAGACUGGAAACAGCCUCAAUCAGAGACAGUUUAAGAUGCUUAAGCCAUCACCUGACAACAUUGUUUAAACAUUUUUUUAAAUGGUGUGGCAUUGUAAUUACAAAUGUUGGACGUACUUGCAAACAUGCUUUUAUAAAAAAAAAAAAAAACCACUUUAAAGGCAGUAUUUAUCGGCUUAAAUGGUGGUGUAAGAAACUCGCUCCAACCUGUUUUAAGCAAAUCAAAUAUUUUAAGUUUGAUUAGUCUCUUUGAGACCAGAGGAGUGGGUUUUUUUAAAUUGUAGUAAAACACAUAACGUAAAAUCUACCAUCUUAACCACUUUUUAAAAUACUAUUUUUAGUAGACUUCAUUUUUUAGAGCAAUUUUAGGGUCACAGCAGAAUUGAGUGGAGGUAGGGAGAUUUCCCACAUACCCCCCACCCCUGCACAUGCAUACUCUCCUCACUGCCAACACCCCCACCAGAGUAGUAUAUUUGUUACAGUUGAACCGAUAUUGACAUAUCAUCACCCUAAGUCCAUAGUUUACAUAAGGGUCACUGUUGGUGUCAUUCUCUGAGUUUGGGCAAAUGUAUAAUGAUGUAUCCACCAUUAUAAUAUCAUUCAGAGUAUUUACACUGCCUUAAUAAUGCUGUUUUUCACUUAUUCAUCCUUCCCUCCCUCCAAUCCUUGACAACUGCUGAUCUUUUUUUUUUAAUUAAAAAAAAUGUUAUUACAUUUUUGAGAGGGGGGGGGGAGAGAGAGAGAGAGAGAGAGAGAGAGAGAGAGAGAGAGAGAGAGAGAUCGGCUGCCUCCCACACGCACCACGACAGGGAAUUGAACCUGAAACCUGGGUAUAUGCCCUGACUGGGAAUCCAACUCGCCACCUUUCGGCAUAUGCGGUGACGCUCCAGCCGAGGCACACUGUCCAGGGCCUGCUGAUCUUACUGUCUUUUCCCGAAUGUCAUAACUGGAAUCAUGCUGUGGAUAGCCUUUUCAGAUGGGCUUCUUUCACUUAGUAAUAUGCAUUUAAGUUUCCUCCAUGUCUUCUCAUGGCUUCAUAGCUCAUUUUUUAAAAUUCCUGAAUAAUAUUUCAUUUUCUAGAUGUACCAGUUUGUUUUACCUACUGAAGGAAUCUGCCAAGUUGUGACAAUUAUGAAUAAAGCUGCUAUUUAAAAAAGAAAAUAAUAAAGCUGCUCUAAAUAUCUGUGUGCAGGUUUUUGUGUGGAACUAAAUUUUUUAACUCAUCUGGGUAAAUAGCAAGGAGUGAAAUUGCUGGAUCACAUGAUAAAAGUGUGCUUAGUUGUAAGAAGCUGUCACACUGUCUUCCAAAGUGGCUGCGCUGUUUUGCAUUCCCACCAGCACUGAGUGACAGUUCCUGUUGUUCCACAUUCUUGUCAGCAUUUGCUGAUGCCAGUGUUCUGGAUUUUAGCCACUCUGAUAGGUAUAUACUGGUAUCUUGUUGUUUUAAUUUGUAAUUCUGUGAUGACAUAUGAUAUAGAUCUUCUCAUAUGCCUAUUUGCUAUCUGUAUCUCCUCUAGUGAGAUGUCUAUUAAGGUCUUUGGCCCAUUUUUUUAACCAGGUUAGUUUUCUUAUUGUUGAAUGUUAAGGGUCCUUUGAGUAUUUUGGAUAAUAUUCCUUGAUCAGAUGAGCCUUUUGCAAAUAUUUGCUCCCAGUCUCUGGCUUAUCUUUUCAUUCUUUUGACAUUGUCUUUCACAGAGCAGAAAUUUUUAAUUUUAAUGAAGUCCACCUUAUUAAUUCUUUCUUUCAAGAAUCAUACCUAUCUAAAAAGGCAUCACCAGCCCAGCUGGUGUGGCUCAGUGGUUGAGUGUCGACCUAUGAACCAGGAGGUCACCGUUUGAUUCCCAGUCAGGACACAUGCCCGGGUUGCAGGCUUGAUCCCCAGUAGGGGGCAUGCAGGAGGCAGCCAAUCAAUGAUGCUCAUCAUUGAUGUUUCUAUCUCUCUCUCCCUUCCUCUCUAAAAUCAAUCAAAUAUAUUUUAAAAAAUUAAUAAAAAAGAAAUGGAGGUGUUAUCAUACGGAGGAGAAUGAAUCAUUUAGGUAAGGAUUCAGUUGUGCAACAAGUAAGUAAUGGAGCCUGGAUUUGAAGGAAGAGCUGGCUACUCGAAGCCAUGGGCAUUGGGUCCCUCCUGCACUCAAUACUCUGCCUUUAAAAUGAAAGUUAAUUUCAACUGUGAAUGCUUGGCUGCCAUGGUAGCAGGGAGGUGGCAAGAGCUCAUCUCUGGUAAGGACAUAGCCUUUGGAAGGAGAGAGACCAUAAAACAAUGAAACAUACUGCCUUGGGAUGUCCAGAGUUUUAUCCCUACUGUCUUUCUCCCUUUAAAAAUAAAUGAAUCACACCUGAAUAUUUGUUUGUUUGUUUGUUUGUUUAACAAAUCCCUGUUUCAGUGUCUUUGAUUGAUGGACAUGUAGUAGUUGUUUUUUAGUGAGAGUUCUCCAGAGGAAACAGAACCAGUAGUAGAUCUAUCUAUCUACCUACCUACCUACCUACCUACCAUCUAUCUACCUACCUACCUAAUCUUCCUUGCUACAAGGAAUUGGCUCAUGUGAUUAUGGAAGCUGAGAAGUCCCAUGAUCCGCCAUCUGCAGGCUGGAGACCCAGCAGAGUGGGUGGUGAAUCUUCAGUCUGAGGGCAGAAGACCAACGUCCCCGCUUGAACACAGUCCGGCAGAGAGUAAAUUCUCCCUUCUUCCACCUUUUUGUUCUAUUCAGGCCCUGAUGGAUUGGACAAGAGCCACCCACAUUGGGGAGGGCAGUCUGCUUUCCUCAGUCUACCUACUCAUGUUAAUCUCAUACACAAAUGCCCUACAGACACACCAGAAGCCUCUAACCAAAUAUCUGGGCACCCAGUGGCCUGGUCAAGUUGAAACAAAAUUACCCAUCACAAGUCUUGUAUGGAUAAGUGAAGAAAGUGUCCGGUUACAAUUACAGUUCAGGGCCUGGAACCGGAAGCAUACUGAGCUCAAAGUUGACAUUAGCAGGCAUUGACUCACUCAGUUUUAGUUCCGGAAAUGGCUUUAAAGGCAGGGCUUCCUACUGAACCUUGAGUUUAAGAGCUGGAAGUGCUUAAGUGUUUUGCUCAGAUACAUACAGCACUUACGGUGGUGGCCCAAGUGCCCUCGAAUGAGCAGUUAUGCAUUAUGCUAACAGUAAAUUAACCUGUAUUGAUCCUCUCCAUGUGCCGAACACAUCUCAGCUCAUUCCCUGUAUCAAUGCCUUUAAUAACACGUGAGCCCCUGAUUUGACAGGUGAGGACAACACUAAGGCAGGUCCACGCAGACAUCAAGAGGCAGAGCCAAGAAUAAAACGUGUGCAUGUCGGUCCAGAAUGUGUGCUGUUAACCAUCAUGCUCCGGCCCCCGAUUGACGUGCCUGAGAGCAGUGCAUGGGCCCAAGAGGGCUUCGUGUCAGGCAGGACUUUCCCCAGGUCACCCCAGUUGGGACUCGAGAGACCACUGUGGGCUGGGCGACUGGCUGGUGCUGGCCUCUAUAGCCUUUUCAAAUUGGACUCUUAACAGACCAGCCUAGGCUCUAAAAGGAAAAGGAUCACGUUCACUCUUGGCGUUUCAUUGAAGGGGCCCCUGCAUGAGUCAGGUGAGCUACUGGCUGGUGCUGUUCAAGAAAACGCAACGGAUCCUUACUUUGGAAGCUCUCACCCCGCGAUGCUUGGGAAAUGAAUCAGGAAACUGGGUUUUAAUACCAGGGAAAGACUCAGUUUACUCCCCUCCAGGGACAAACAGGAAGCCGACCUUUCUCUGCUUCCUUCCCCCACAAAUGACUGUGGAAGCCUUUCUAUUUUCUUUUUUCAGAAUGAAUCUGGGCAUUUACUUCCCGUACUCCCAUACAUGUUUGGCCCCAUCCAUGGUUUACCCAUCCAUGGCAUUUUCCUUUCAUUUGUUAAAGGCACACUGGGGUUUUUGUUUGUUUGUUUCUGACCAAGGGACUAACUUCAGCAAAAGAAGAAACUGGCUGUCAGAUUUGCUAGCUCUGUUGUGGACCCCAAUAACCAGAGUGGCCGGCUUCAUGAAACAGUGACCAUGGAAUACACAGCUCCUGAGCCAGCUGGAAGACAGCAGCUUGAGAGCUUGGAUUCCAUUUAUACCUACAACCAGCGAUCCUGUCAAUAUCUUUCUCAGAAAGAGAAACUUCGAUGUGACUGGGAAUUGAACCUGCAACCUUUUGUGUAUGGAUACGCUCCUACCAACUAAGCCACCUGUGCCAGGGCCCACAGCUUCCUUCUUUAAACAACACGGCCACUUCCAUGUGACAAAGUCCUCACCUUGCCCACUCUACUUACUUUCAUUACUUAACUGGACCCUGAAGGCAUGUUUGUCACCCUUGGUGCUUAACUGAACGAUACUGAAUAAAUUAAAUUGGCAAUUAAUGCUUGUGUUUUACAUUUUCUUUAUUUUUAAAAAAUAUAUUUUUAUUGAUUUCAGAGAAGAAGGGAGACAGAGAGAGAGAAACGGAAACAUCAAUGAUGAGAGAG